CACGUAGGGUGCGAACGUUGUCCGGAAUUAUUGGGCGUAAAGAGCUCGUAGGCGGUUUGUUGCGUCGGCUGUGAAAUCCCGAGGCUCAACCUCGGGUCUGCAGUCGAUACGAGCAAACUAGAGUGUUGCAGGGGAGACUGGAAUUCCUGGUGUAGCGGUGAAAUGCGCAGAUAUCAGGAGGAACACCGGUGGCGAAGGCGGGUCUCUGGGCAACAACUGACGCUGAGGAGCGAAAGCGUGGGGAGCGAACAGG
rnacentral:rRNA from 1 species